GCCCACGGGUUGCGGGCUAUAUUGACAUCCCUACAAAUGACUACUUAAAGUAUAGCUGCUCAACCAAUUCAUUACACGAGAACUUCUAUUCAGAGAAAGGAAGCAAAUAUCACUUGCAAAAAGCUCUAGCUAACAGUUUCAUGUAUUAAAAGCUGGCUCAAGAGAUGAGUUUGAUCAAAGAUUUGGAAAAGAAAGAGACGGAGUACAAGGACGGAGUUCAAGAGACUGAGAAAGAACAAGAUAUGUGUAGAUGAUAAAUUUUCCAACAACAUUUCCACUAGACAUGAGACUAAGAAGGAACAUGAAUCAUCAUUUGUUACUAUUAACUAAAGUUUUAGAAUUUGUAUUGAUGCUCAAUAGUAUUACACUUUGGUCUUAUGAGUAAUUAAAGAGUAUUGGUGUAUCUAUUGUUA